rnacentral:rRNA from 1 species
ACGUUAGCGGCGGACGGGUGAGUAACACGUGGAUAACCUACCUAUAAGACUGGGAUAACUUCAGGAAACUGGGGCUAAUACCGGAUAGGAGCUCCUGCUGCAUGGUGGGGGUUGGAAAGUUUCGGCGGUUGGGGAUGGACUCGCGGCUUAGCAGCUUGUUGGUGGGGUAGUGGCUCACCAAGGCUUUGACGGGUAGCCGGCCUGAGAGGGUGACCGGCCACAUUGGGACUGAGAUACGGCCCAG